ensembl:lncRNA
AUGGCUUGGCCGGCUGGAAACGGGCAGCGAGGUCCAGCUGGAGGGCACGAGCUCUCCGGAGCCGCACACCUCGGGAAGCUCAGUCCCCCCACCCCGGCAGGAGCGAGGGGCGGUCCCGGGGCUGCUCCCACGGGGAGGGAGGGAGGGAGGGCGGCGCGACCCUCUGCGGGGUCCACCCUCCAUCCUCCAGACCCCGCGGCCUGCGGGCCACGGGGCACAUUCUCGGGUAGCGACGGGCGGGAAGGGCACCCGGGCUGGCGACGGGCGGGGUGGAGGGGAACUCGGUUAGCGGGGACGAUGGGCCGAGUGCCUCCCGUGCCCCGCGCGAAGGCGAGGCCAGUGGGCUGGCGGUGUGGGGCGAGGCCGCCAGGGGCCCAGGCACCUGCAGCCGGAGGGUCCGCUCCCUUCCCCGCCCUGGACGGCGGCCUGCGGGAAAGCAGCCUCCACUGGGUCCCGCGCGUCGCGCCGAGGUCGUGGAAGGCCGAGGGCGGGAGGGCGGAGGCGCCGGCAGGGUCGGCGGGACUGGGGCUCGGACGGAGGACAGGGGCUCGGAGGAGGCAGGAAGGACGCCGGGUACUGCGGGGCGCCUGGGGGUUCCGAGCGCAGCGGCUGCGGAGCCGACCCGCCCAGUGGGAAUCGCGGCCCCGGCGCGCCCACGACGCUCCUCCAGGCCGAACCCCUGCGGCCCGGAGCCCCGGCCUCUCGCCCCAGCCACCCCCCACUCCCACCCCGCAGGUCGGCCCUGCAGCAUUCUUCCCUUCCUCCACCUCCCUCCCGCCUCCGAAGCCGGAGCCCCCGGCCAAGUGGCCGCUCUCAACCUGUUACCAAGUCCUAGAGAGAACUUCUCCAAAAUAUGUCCUGGAUCCCCCUGCCAAGGGCCCUGUCCCGCCCCUCCAGCUCCCAUCUGGAUGCCUGCAGACCUCUCCCUGGCUUCCGAGGCUCUGGCCUCCUCCCUCCCUAAUCCAUUUUCCACACCGCUUCCCCGGGAGCCCGUUAACGCACACCGGGACCGCGGCGGGGGCAAGCCGCCUGUGUCUCCACAUAGCAGGCCAAGGGGGACUGGGUGGGGAAGAAUAA